ensembl:lncRNA
UGGAGGAGAGGCAGCAGAGACUCUGCUCUCCUCGUUUGGAUUAAUUCUGAUAUAAUAACUGUUGGUUUAUUUAUCGGUGCAGCAGCAGAACCUUUUCCACAGACAGUUUUCCUGCCCGUUGGCUUGUUUUAACCAGUUUUAUACCUUCGGCUGAUUCUACCAGCAGACACUGAAAGGACUCUGAUAGUUUGAGUGAAAGUAGCAGUUCCUCCUGAAGGUCAGAGAUUGCAGCAUCUGAGGGCCUUUUCAAAAGAAGAUGUAGUUGAUGAAGGCGUUCUGGAGCAGGACCAGAAAGACCACGACCAAGCAGCCUUGAGAUCUUAGGCAGCGUCUCCCUCAGGUCCCUCUCUGUCUCCCCACACAUCCACCAACCACUGGAACACAUCUCCAAAGUUCUGCUGGACCAGCUCAGCUUCCCCUCAGAAGAAGUGCUGCCACCUGCCAGAUGAAGGAGCCUUUUGAGAGGCAGCUGGCAUCGUGAUUGGACUGUACUUUGGUCUGUUCCAAUCCAGCUUCAGCUCCAGAGACGGCAGGCGGGACGAGUCAACGGAGGCCGGAUGGACGAAGGCAUGCAGCUGAGUACAAUCCAGAAAACAACAGAGGAGGAGUGCAGCAGCCCAGAGCCAGAACAACCAGAGUAGCAUCGUAUGUCUGUUAGAAAACAUCAUAGUAGAGCCUUUGGUAUGAAAAAACACCAUCAUAUACAUCGUAUAUUGUACAAAUAACAAGUCAAAGGAAAGAGACAUACAUUGUAGAAUUGUAGUAAUUGUGGGCUGACUGAUUUACUGAUUAUCAGUAUUUUAUUUUUUACUGAUUUAUGGUAAUAAAUACAUUUAAAAAUGGUGCUACUUUGGCUCUGAACCUUUAUCUACCUGUGGUCGCUCUGUCUUCUGGAGUGAUUUGAUUGGUUAUACAUCAC